rnacentral:rRNA from 1 species
GAUGAACGCUGGCGGCGUGCCUAAUACAUGCAAGUCGAGCGAACAGACGAGGAGCUUGCUCCUCUGACGUUAGCGGCGGACGGGUGAGUAACACGUGGAUACCCUACCUAUAAGACGGGGAUAACUUCGGGAAACCGGAGCUAAUACCGUAUAAUAUAUUGCACCGCGUGGUUCAAUGGUGAGAGACGGUUUUUCUGUCUCUUAUAGAUGGAUCCGCGCCGCAUUAGCUGGUUGGUAAGGUACCGGCUUACCAAGGCAACGAGGCGUAGACGAACUGAGAGGGUGAUCGGCCACAUGGGAACUGAGACACGGUCCAGACUCCUAAGGGAGGCAGCAGUAGGGAAUCUUACGCAAUGGGGGAAAGUCUGACGGAGCAAGGCGGCGUGAGUGAUGAAGGUCUUCGGAUCGGAAAACUCUGUUAUUAGGGAAGAACAAAUGUGUAAGUAACUAUGCACGGCUUGACGGUACCUAAUCAGAAAGCCACGGCUAACUACGUG